UGUUGCUGGUCUUUGGACGUAGCUCAUUCGUAAUACAUUAGCAUCUCAAUUUCGAACUUCGGAUUGACUCAGCGUGAUAGACUAUUCGCUGAGGACACCUUUGGGUGGCCGAAAUGAGAAGACAGUAGAAGCUCCUAAAACCGAUCUUAGUCAAUUUAAAUUUAGACCUCAGAUCAGGCAGGAUUACCCGCUGAACUUAA
rnacentral:misc_RNA from 1 species